GGCAUGAUGGUUGGAAGAGUAAGACGGGGACUGCUCACCUGGAGUUUUCCCAUUGACUUGUGAACGCUGCACACACACAUAAGGCAAGCCCCGCCCCCCGGCCGUUAAUAGGCUCUGAGUUCACCUUUACUGCCACACCCAGACACGGACUGUCUUCAUCUCUCAGGUAUGGCCAAGUGAGACAAGGACAAAAGAGCCAUUUGGUCUACCUGCCUCACCUAUCUUGGACUCCUGCAACAAAAUGAUUUGAGGCAAAGUCUUGGUCUAAUUAAUUGAUGAGCUAUAUGUAUAGCAGACAAGAGAACCCUGGUCAAUGGAACCCCAAAGUCUGUGGAGACUGAUAAAAUAUCCAGCGGAGAUGUUCCAAGAAGACUGAUGUACAAACUGGCCAGACCCUUUACAAAGGCGUGUGUACAUAGCUAUGAAAAGUAUGGUGUCACUCAAGGUCACAAGCUCAAAUUGGUCGGAGUCCGCAAAGAGACGGGAGUCAUUACCUCGUUUGGUUGCUUAGCAGGGUUGAGCCAGCAAAUUAGCCACUUCCACGGAAGUUCUGCUGUACUGGCGUCCUACCCUAGUUAGCAUCUCAUCUCGCUUCUUGAUCACCAGCCUCAGAGAGAAAUGCCUGCCAGGACCUCGUGACCAUGAAUGUGCUGCCUUUGAAACAAAUCAAAACAAC
rnacentral:lncRNA from 1 species